rnacentral:rRNA from 1 species
UAAGCGACUAAGCGUACACGGUGGAUGCCCUGGCAGUCAGAGGCGAUGAAGGACGUGCUAAUCUGCGAUAAGACGUCGGUAAGGUGAUAUGAACCGUUAUAACCGGCGAUUUCCGAAUGGGGAAACCCAGUGUGUUUCGACACACUAUCAUUAACUGAAUCCAUAGGUUAAUGAGGCGAACCGGGGGAACUGAAACAUCUAAGUACCCCGAGGAAAAGAAAUCAACCGAGAUUCCCCCAGUAGCGGCGAGCGAACGGGGAGCAGCCCAGAGCCUGAAUCAGUGUGUGUGUUAGUGGAAGCGUCUGGAAAGGCGCGCGAUACAGGGUGACAGCCCCGUACACAAAAAUGCACAUACUGUGAGCUCGAUGAGUAGGGCGGGACACGUGGUAUCCUGUCUGAAUAUGGGGGGACCAUCCUCCAAGGCUAAAUACUCCUGACUGACCGAUAGUGAACCAGUACCGUGAGGGAAAGGCGAAAAGAACCCCGGCGAGGGGAGUGAAAAAGAACCUGAAACCGUGUACGUACAAGCAGUGGGAGCCUCUUUUAUGGGGUGACUGCGUACCUUUUGUAUAAUGGGUCAGCGACUUAUAUUCUGUAGCAAGGUUAACCGAAUAGGGGAGCCGAAGGGAAACCGAGUCUUAACCGGGCGUUAAGUUGCAGGGUAUAGACCCGAAACCCGGUGAUCUAGCCAUGGGCAGGUUGAAGGUUGGGUAACACUAACUGGAGGACCGAACCGACUAAUGUUGAAAAAUCAGCGGAUGACUUGUGGCUGGGGGUGAAAGGCCAAUCAAACCGGGAGAUAGCUGGUUCUCCCCGAAAGCUAUUUAGGUAGCGCCUCGUGAAUUCAUCUCCGGGGGUAGAGCACUGUUUCGGCAAGGGGGUCAUCCCGACUUACCAACCCGAUGCAAACUGCGAAUACCGGAGAAUGUUAUCACGGGAGACACACGGCGGGUGCUAACGUCCGUCGUGAAGAGGGAAACAACCCAGACCGCCAGCUAAGGUCCCAAAGUCAUGGUUAAGUGGGAAACGAUGUGGGAAGGCCCAGACAGCCAGGAUGUUGGCUUAGAAGCAGCCAUCAUUUAAAGAAAGCGUAAUAGCUCACUGGUCGAGUCGGCCUGCGCGGAAGAUGUAACGGGGCUAAACCAUGCACCGAAGCUGCGGCAGCGACACUGUGUGUUGUUGGGUAGGGGAGCGUUCUGUAAGCCUGUGAAGGUGUACUGUAAGGUAUGCUGGAGGUAUCAGAAGUGCGAAUGCUGACAUAAGUAACGAUAAAGCGGGUGAAAAGCCCGCUCGCCGGAAGACCAAGGGUUCCUGUCCAACGUUAAUCGGGGCAGGGUGAGUCGACCCCUAAGGCGAGGCCGAAAGGCGUAGUCGAUGGGAAACAGGUUAAUAUUCCUGUACUUGGUGUUACUGCGAAGGGGGACGGAGAAGGCUAUGUUGGCCGGGCGACGGUUGUCCCGGUUUAAGCGUGUAGGCUGGUUUUCCAGGCAAAUCCGGAAAAUCAAGGCUGAGGCGUGAUGACGAGGCACUACGGUGCUGAAGCAACAAAUGCCCUGCUUCCAGGAAAAGCCUCUAAGCAUCAGGUAACAUCAAAUCGUACCCCAAACCGACACAGGUGGUCAGGUAGAGAAUACCAAGGCGCUUGAGAGAACUCGGGUGAAGGAACUAGGCAAAAUGGUGCCGUAACUUCGGGAGAAGGCACGCUGAUAUGUAGGUGAAGUCCCUCGCGGAUGGAGCUGAAAUCAGUCGAAGAUACCAGCUGGCUGCAACUGUUUAUUAAAAACACAGCACUGUGCAAACACGAAAGUGGACGUAUACGGUGUGACGCCUGCCCGGUGCCGGAAGGUUAAUUGAUGGGGUCAGCGCAAGCGAAGCUCUUGAUCGAAGCCCCGGUAAACGGCGGCCGUAACUAUAACGGUCCUAAGGUAGCGAAAUUCCUUGUCGGGUAAGUUCCGACCUGCACGAAUGGCGUAAUGAUGGCCAGGCUGUCUCCACCCGAGACUCAGUGAAAUUGAACUCGCUGUGAAGAUGCAGUGUACCCGCGGCAAGACGGAAAGACCCCGUGAACCUUUACUAUAGCUUGACACUGAACAUUGAGCCUUGAUGUGUAGGAUAGGUGGGAGGCUUUGAAGUGUGGACGCCAGUCUGCAUGGAGCCGACCUUGAAAUACCACCCUUUAAUGUUUGAUGUUCUAACGUGGACCCGUGAUCCGGGUUGCGGACAGUGUCUGGUGGGUAGUUUGACUGGGGCGGUCUCCUCCUAAAGAGUAACGGAGGAGCACGAAGGUUGGCUAAUCCUGGUCGGACAUCAGGAGGUUAGUGCAAUGGCAUAAGCCAGCUUGACUGCGAGCGUGACGGCGCGAGCAGGUGCGAAAGCAGGUCAUAGUGAUCCGGUGGUUCUGAAUGGAAGGGCCAUCGCUCAACGGAUAAAAGGUACUCCGGGGAUAACAGGCUGAUACCGCCCAAGAGUUCAUAUCGACGGCGGUGUUUGGCACCUCGAUGUCGGCUCAUCACAUCCUGGGGCUGAAGUAGGUCCCAAGGGUAUGGCUGUUCGCCAUUUAAAGUGGUACGCGAGCUGGGUUUAGAACGUCGUGAGACAGUUCGGUCCCUAUCUGCCGUGGGCGCUGGAGAACUGAGGGGGGCUGCUCCUAGUACGAGAGGACCGGAGUGGACGCAUCACUGGUGUUCGGGUUGUCAUGCCAAUGGCACUGCCCGGUAGCUAAAUGCGGAAGAGAUAAGUGCUGAAAGCAUCUAAGCACGAAACUUGCCCCGAGAUGAGUUCUCCCUGACCCUUUAAGGGUCCUGAAGGAACGUUGAAGACGACGACGUUGAUAGGCCGGGUGUGUAAGCGCAGCGAUGCGUUGAGCUAACCGGUACUAAUGAACCGUGAGGCUUAACCU